AUUUCUAAUUACUUAGUUAAAAAAAAUCAACAAUGAAAAACAUUUUCCUGAGAAGAGUACACAAUUUAUCUCAAUAAUUUUUAAGCCAUGAACCAUGUAAGUCAAAGGAUGUCAAAGAAAAUGCUAAAUUUAUAUUUCAUCUGCCUUUCAUAGCAAAGUAAUUUGGAUAUUUUUUGUUGUUUCAUUAAAGCAUAUGGAGAUUGGUCCAUAUACUUGAUUCCUGUUUCACUUAAAAGCUGCACUAGGUGUCAUAUCAGAUUUCCACCACUGAUUUAAUGAUGGCACACAUGAAAAUCAGAACAAUAAACCUCCAUCUGUUAGAGGAAAAAAGUAAAGAAGUUUCUAUUGAGAUGAAUGUGGAUUCCCU
rnacentral:lncRNA from 1 species